GACGAACGCUGGCGGCGUGCCUAAUACAUGCAAGUCGAGCGAGUCUGCCUUGAAGAUCGGAGUGCUUGCACUCUGUGAAACAAGAUACAGGCUAGCGGCGGACGGGUGAGUAACACGUGGGUAACCUGCCCAAGAGAUCGGGAUAACACCUGGAAACAGAUGCUAAUACCGGAUAACAACAGAUGAUGCCUAUCAACUGUUUAAAAGAUGGUUCUGCUAUCACUCUUGGAUGGACCUGCGGUGCAUUAGCUAGUUGGUAGGGUAACGGCCUACCAAGGCGAUGAUGCGUAGCCGAGUUGAGAGACUGAUCGGCCACAUUGGGACUGAGACACGGCCCAAACUCCUACGAGAGGCAGCAGUAGGGAAUCUUCCACAAUGGACGCAAGUCUGAUGGAGCGACGCCGCGUGAGUGAAGAAGGGUUUCGGCUCGUAAAGCUCUGUUGUUGGUGAAGAAGGACAGGGGUAGUAACUGACCUUUGUUUGACGGUAAUCAAUUAGAAAGUCACGGCUAACUACGUG
rnacentral:rRNA from 1 species